rnacentral:piRNA from 1 species
GCUGGUCGUUGUAAUGGUGUGUU